UACGUAGAUGGCGAGCGUUAUCCGGAUUUAUUGGGCGUAAAGGGUGCUCAGCUGGUUUGUUAAGUCUGUAGUUAAAAUUCGAAGCUCAACUUCGAAGUGCUAUGGAAACUGAUAAACUUGAGUGCAGAAGAGGGUAGUGGAAUUCCAUGUGAAGCGGUAAAAUGCGUAGAUAUAUGGAGGAACACCAGUGGCGAAGGCGGCUACCUGGUCUGCAACUGACGGUCAAGCACGAAAGCGUGGGGAGCAAAUAGGAUUAGAUACCCU
rnacentral:rRNA from 1 species